rnacentral:lncRNA from 1 species
AAAGAAGGGACAUCUGGUGGAAUGAACUACGUGGUUAAAUCCUUUUUGAAUCAUCUUUUCUGACAACGGGGUGGAAGAGUAACUAGUUGACCACAGAGCUCUCUCUGUUCACAGUGAGAAACAUGCUUUGCCUUGGAGGGAGUCCAUCAGCUAAUAUUAACACAGAGAAGGCGAAAGUGCAGGUUGACAGGAAAGCCUGGCUCUCCCCUGACUCAAUUCAGGAGAUCAUUAAGGACGAAGUCUUGCUGUAAAGUACACCUCUCUUCCUCCGAUGACAGUGACAACCAGGGCGCUGAAUCAGGGGCAGCCUGCUCUCCUUUGACAAACACCCACCCACUUUGCCUCCAGUACUCGUAAGAAGCCAUAAGAAGUUUCUCAGACUUAACGUGUGUGAAAGGGUACUAAAUCUUCCAUCUCCUGGAGGCUGAAAGGAAAAUGGAAAGAUGCUGCAAACAGAGGAAGAUACCAAACAAAUUGUGACAGCCACAGGAAAUGAUUCUACAGGAGAGACAGCAUCACACCUACUUGCAAAGAUAAAGCAAAUAUGGAGAAAGGAAUGAAUAAUAGAAUGGUGAACACAGAUAUACUCUGAACAAUCAGACAGACCAUCUUCUGCCUCAUUCAAUGCUUCUUUCUUCUAGAAACAGUUUUUAGACUUUGUAUGGACUUUUGCUCCUAACAUCAG